rnacentral:misc_RNA from 1 species
AAAGGUCGUAACAAAGUUUCCGUAGGUGAACCUGCGGAAGGAUCAUUAAAAGAGAUCGUUUCUUUGGUGUAUAAGCUAGAGAAAUUCCUCCAACCCUUGUCUAUCAAAACAAAAAUUUUGUUGCUCCGGCGAGCUUAAAAAAGAAUUUAAUUUUAAUUAAUUUGCUUGCGCUUCUCAAUCAAUCUUUCUUUCUUUUCGCCAGAAGAAAUUAAAUCAAACUCUGAAUUAAACAAUUGUCUGAAUUAAACUUUAUAAAAAUUUGGCUUCAUAACCAAUUAAAUUAAAAUACAA